UCACCAGCAGAGUUCCCCACAGGUCCUCCAGGAUCAGCCAGCAAGUGGAUUCUGGGAGGCCUUCAUGGCUGUGUUAGGCACCACAGCUGUGCCUCCUAUGGACCACGAUGGACUACUCAGAACCCUGCAAUGUUCUGCCUCUAAGGCAAAUUUGUCGUAAACGCUGUGGCAGAUUCCUUUAAGGUCCUAGCAGGGGGUAUGGUACAUGACCAGCACUCCCAGGACUGGCUCUCUUGUGUCCACUCGUCCUCCCCAUUGGAAGAACUAACAGUGAUUCAGCUGACAAAAAAGAAAUGUGAUUUGCAGAGUCCCAGAUCCAAGUAUAAAAGGCCAUAUACCAGGAACUCAAAAGAGAAGGGUGACAAAAUAACCCGUGUCUGGCCUUGAGAAGUUUGUAUUCUGAUCAGGAAAAGCCAAUAAUAGUAAUUCUAACCAAAAAAGGGAAAUUUCAUUUAGUGGAUUAAAAAUCCCAGAAGAGAAGGAGCUCAGAUCAUGUGUUCCUCCCUUGGCUCUCCUGGAGUGGUGAAAAGAGAGAUUUAUUUAUUACAGAUCUCCAUCUCAGUUCCGAUUAUGUGGGGGAGAAUAAGAGAGACUUAAUGCUGUAUGCCACUGAGACAAUUCAUAAUGAGGAAGGCCACUACUCAAGAUGAAGGCCAAGAAGAAAAAAAAAACCACUAAAAUUGUCUACACCAUUUAAACUACUGCCUCCAAAUAAACUAGAAUGCA